CUGCAGCUCGCCCACACCCUUGGAGCCGAGGAGAGGAAGGGCGCCAUGGGGGGGGCUCUGUGUCCUGCUGCAAGCGACAUGGGAGAGGCUUGCUACCGUGGAGAUGGCCGGCUGGAGCAGAGGGGCGAGAGGAACUCGUCUGCGCCAAGGAAGGGAGCAGGGAGCGCCAGGGUUGGGUGCUCGGCUGCUCAAGCCUCGUCGGUGCCAUGGGAGGAAGGGAGCCGAGCUCCCUGCGCGCUGGGGAAGAAGGCGCUGCGCGUGGGGGAAAAAGCCAGGGAGAAGAAAAUGGCGGCUAAGGAAAGUGAGGGGUGGGAGUGA
rnacentral:misc_RNA from 1 species